rnacentral:rRNA from 1 species
CCAGCAGCUGCGGUAAUUCCAGCUCCAAUAGCGUAUACUAAAGUUGUUGCAGUUAAAAAGUUCGUAGUCGAAUUCGAGCCUAAGCGCGCGGUUCGACCUGUAAAAAGGUCCUAGACGCGCUAGGUUCAGUCUUGUCACGGUGUUGCCUUAACUUCAAUUGAAGGUAAAGCGACGUCUUGGCAUUUUUUACUGUGAACAAAAUAGAGUGUUCAUGGCAGGCCUUUGUAGGCUUAGAUACCUCAGCAUGGAAUAAUAGAAUAGGACUUCUGGUUCUAUUUUGUUGGUUUUUGGAGCCGAAGUAAUGAUUAAUAGGGAUAGUUGGGGGCACUCGUACUCCGUUGUCAGAGGUGAAAUUCUUGGAUUUACGGAAGACGAACAACUGCGAAAGCAUCUGCCAAGGAUGUUUUCAUUGAUCAAGAACGAAAGU